GUGUCAGCAGCCGCGGUAAUACGUAGGGGGCGAGCGUUGUCCGAAUUCACUGGGCGUAAAGCGCGCGUAGGCGGACUAUUAAGUUGAUGGUGAAAUCCCGGGGCUCAACCUCGGAACUGCCUUCAAAACUGAUAGUCUUGAGGUUUGGAGAGGGAACUGGAAUUCCAGGUGUAGCGGUGAAAUGCGUAGAUAUCUGGAGGAACACCCAUGGCGAAGGCAGGUUCCUGGCCAUAUCCUGACGCUGAGGUGCGAAAGCUAGGGUAGCGAACGGGAUUAGAAACCCUUGUAGUCC
rnacentral:rRNA from 1 species